rnacentral:lncRNA from 1 species
GCUAGCCUAGUUCUCAAAGUAAUUUUCAGGGUAUGGGAGGGUAGUAUAGGUAAUAUGAUCAGGGAGUCUUUAGUAACAAGAAUAGGAAGCUUCUAGUAGGGGUUUCUUGUAAAAUUUUAGGCUAUAACUUGGCAAGAAAGCCAUAAAAUCACGGACCAUAGGGCAAAAUUAAAUUCUGAGGAUAGCCCUAAUGUUCAGUCUAUAAAAGGCAUGAAAACUUAAGAUGAAAAGGGGGUUCUUUGGAGAGCUAAGUGAGAAAAUAAAUAGAAAAUAAAAAAAAUAGCAGCCAAUUCUACUAUUCCAUUGAGUUUCUUACUAUAACUUUAUGAAAUUUCUGAAUCAUACAUGCUUGAGGAUGUUUUAAAUUGGGUUUUGAAAAUUGAUUUUGAGCUAAGAUCGUGUGGACAUCCCUCUUAGUUGAAGUCUGGGAUUAGAAUUUGGAUAUUAGUCUAUUGGAACUUGGCCUGAUGUUUGGACUGAUUUCUUCCAUGUAAACACUGUUGAUUGCUGAUACUUCAUUUUUGCUUUUCUCUUAAAGUUCCAGGUACUUCCUUAGCUCAUGAUUAAGGAAUGAUUGUGAAUGUGUAAAAGAGUUGAAGUGUUGUUAUAUGAAGACCUUAUUUGAAGCGGAUUUCCUUUGUCCUUUACUAUUUACAUGUUUUUUUAAUUAUAUUUCCAGUUAUAGAUGUUGAUUAACACCUUUAUUUUUCGAUUUUGGCAUGUGAAAGUGACCUGGUGUAGUAUUUUUGCAUCUGUAUCGCCAAGUAAACAAUAGACUUUGAUUAUUCAUGUUUAUAUGUAAUAUUGUAUUUUGGGGUCCCAGAUUUGUUAGUCGUAUGCUGAGAAUCAUUCAGUUCUAAUUUUGAAGGAUUUGAUAUUUACCUGCGUAUGUACUAGCGUAUGCCUAAGUAGUUUCGUAAACAUGAUUAGAUUGUUUUGAGUUUUCUCCUUGUUUUUGGG